GAUGAACGCUAGCUACAGGCUUAACACAUGCAAGUCGAGGGGUAACGAGAGGAAAGCUUGCUUUCCUUGUCGACGACCGGCGCACGGGUGAGUAAUGCGUAUCCAACCUGCCCCCAACUAAGGAAUAACCUUGCGAAAGUAAGACUAAUACCUUAUAAUUUCCUCAGAUGUCAUCUGACGAGGAAUAAAGAUUUAUCGGUUGUGGAUGGGGAUGCGUCUGAUUAGCUUGUUGGCGGGGUAAGGGCCCACCAAGGCAACGAUCAGUAGGGGUUCGUGGAGGAAGGUCCCCCGCAUUGGACCUGAUACACGGUCCAAACUCCUACGGGAGGCAGAAGUGAGGAAUAUUGGUCAAUGGGCGGAAGCCUGAACCAGCCAAGUAGCGUGCAGGAUGACGGCCCUAUGGGUUGUAAACUGCUUUUAUACAGGAAUAAAGUUAGCCACGUGUGGUUAUUUGUAGGUACUGUAUGAAUAAGGACCGGCUAAUUCCGUGCCAGCAGCCGCAGUAA
rnacentral:rRNA from 1 species